UAAUAGGGCUAAACUCUUAAUCCGACUUAAGCAUUUUGGGUGGUGGCUAGACCCAAGAGGUUAAGAGAGUUAAGUGUGUAGGACGGGAGUAGUCCUAGGAUGGGUGACGCCCUGGGAAGUCGGGACGUCACAUAACUUAUGAAUUUGAAUUUAAAUUAAAUUUUAAUUUACAUAAAAUUUUAUUUAAAACUUAAAUUAAAUUUAUGGAUUCAAAUUAAAAUUUAAAUUGUAAUUUUAAUUUUGAAUUUGAAUAAAUCGAAAUUUAGUUUUAUAUUUUAAAUUAUCCACUCAACUUCAAAGUUUAAUUUUUAAAAAAAAAAUAUAUUUAAAAUUUUGACAUUAUUUCAAAAUUUUGAUGUAAAUUUUUAAUAUUUAAUUUUCAAAUUGAAUUUAAAUUAAUAUAUUAUAAAGAUAAAGUUAGUAUAUUAAUUUGAUUACGUUUUUUAUAUCUACCUGAACUAAAUACCGACAAUGGGAAUGAUUUAUUCAGAUUUCGAUUUAGGUGAUGAAUCAAACAAAAUUAGGUAACGCAUCAUUCCAAUUCUGAUUCCAGUUUAUUCCAAUUCCGAUUCUGAUUCUGAUUCCGACUUCGAAUCAAACACGCCCUUAAAUGCAAAUAAGAAAAAUUGAUAAAGGUAAAAGGAUAUAUUUGAAAGGGUAAAAAGUCAAAAUACUUUUUAUAUUCCCUAGUUUAAAGACAAAUAAGAAAAGUUGGUGACUAUAAAAAGAUACAUUUGAAAUGGUAAAAUAGUAAUUUUACAUAAAUAAAGGUUGUUACUAAUCGUUCACUAACUGAAUUUAACUCUAUGGACAUGUUUGGUUCGACGUUGGAAUUGGAAUCGGAAUCGAAAUAAGCUGAAAUCAGAAUCGGAAUAACUUAUUACCUAAUUUUGUUUGGUUUAUCACCUAAAUCGGAAUCAGAAUAAAUCAUUUCCAUUGUCCGUGUUUGGUUCAGAUAGAUAUAAAAAACACAAUCAAAUUAAUAUACUAACUUUAUCUUUAUAAUAUAUUAAUUUAAAUUCAAUUUAAAAAUUAAAUAUUAAAAAUUUACAUCAAAACUUAUGUGCUAUUAGAAGCACGGAGACCUUCAUGCUCUUAAACCGUUUUCGACGAUAGAGCUUCGGAAUCGACUAUUGGUUUCGUUAGACUUGAUUUAGUGUAUUUGAAAUAUCUAAAAAAUAAUUUUUGUCAUUUUUGGAUAUCAUUUAUCUAGCAAUCAAAAGGGUUCAAAAUCAACUGCUAAAAAUAAAAAUCUCAUAAAAAGUUGUGAUAUAGCACUAAAAUUUUUAAUCAGAGAUAUUGAUCUUACAGUAAAUAGUAUAAAAAAUUUUCUAUCAAAAGUUCAUUUGAUUUUAAUACUUCUAUGUCGUUAAACUUGCAAAUGAUAUAUAUCAAAUAUUAAAAAUUAUUGAUUUGGAACCCUUUCGAUCGUUAGGUAAAUGAUAUCGAAAAAUCACAAAAUUUAUUUUCUAUAUACUUUUAAUAAACUAAAUCAAAUAUAAUGGAGCCGAUUACUAAUUCGAAAUCUCCAUCAUCGAAAACGACUUA
rnacentral:lncRNA from 1 species